CAGCUCUCCGAGUGGUAGGGAUGAUUAUUGGGCUUAAAGCGUCCGUAGCCGGCUUAGCAAGUCUCCUGUUAAAUUCAGCGACCUAAUCGUUGAGCCGCGGGAGACACUACUAGGCUAGGAGGCGGGAGAGGCCGACGGUAUUCUCGGGGUAGGGGUGAAAUCCUAUAAUCCCGGGAGGACCACCAGUGGCGAAGGCUGUCGGCUAGAACGCGCUCGACGGUGAGGGACGAAAGCUGGGGGAGCGAACCGGAUUAGAUACCCGAGUAGUCC
rnacentral:rRNA from 1 species